CAUGUUAUAUUUUAAACAAAUAUUAUUAACGACACUUAGUGCUCUGAGAAAUUAAUACAUUAAUAAAAAUGAAUAAGGACAUCAAGUGUUUCAUUUAAUUUCAGAGGUCCACGAAAUCCCUGCAGAUCAAACUAACAGAGGACAGCAUGACUCUUAUGAAAAUGUUCAAGGACCGAAGGUCGUGUGUAAAACAGCUGAUAUACCUGUGAAGGUGACAUCAAAGCAUCGGCAAUAUGAUGGCGUUGUUAUACUCCACAAGCCUCUCCAUGCUAUUGUUCCGUCAGGGGCAAUGCUUUCCUUGGAUGAGUAUGCUAUUGACAUGGAAAACGGUCUACUGAAAUUCAACACUGCUUUUCAUCGCUAGCCGAUUAUCAAGAGUGUUCAAUUAAACCAUCUUCUUGACAUUGAUCCACCAGAGAACUUUAAAUUUAAUGUUUUAGUAUGUUUCCUAUGUAGGUUCUUAACUUAAAAAAUAAAUAUGGAUUUAAAAUGCUUUUAGAAACGAUUAAAAGAAAAUAAUGUAAAAGUUAAUAAUGCGUCAUUGAUCGAUGGUAUAACUUUCAUUUGUUUUAUAUUUUAACGAUAAAAAUCUUAAAGAACAAAAACCGUUUCAUGACCUAUCUUAAUGUAGAUAAAGAAAGGAACAAAAAUCUUGUUUAUGAAAAUUGUUAUUACCAUACAUGUAUGUAUAUAGUAAUGUAAAGAUGUAUUAUUUCAUUAGAUGCUAUUUUUUAUUGUUAAACGGUCUAUUGAAGCAUUAGUUGCAGCCUAAGAAAUACUUAUUCUUCAUGGAUCGUGCAAUAUAUUUGAAUUUGCUUGUUUAAUUAAUAUACUUUGUGCAUUUGUUAUGUAUGAAAUUGUUCGCUUGUUAUACAUUGAGUUAAAAACAUAUUUCUUAA